CUGAUCCUAGAGUUUCAGAUCCUAUCUUAGAGAACUUUAUAUUAAAUGGAUUUUUGAAGAAGGGAGGUGGAAUAGGAGCUUGCUCCAUCCACUCCAUGCAUCAACCUGGUAUUGCAGUGUUUCUAGAAAUGGUGC
ensembl:snRNA U2 U2 spliceosomal RNA